rnacentral:rRNA from 1 species
UACGGAGGGUGCGAGCGUUGUUCGGAAUCACUGGGCGUAAAGCGCGUGUAGGCGGCCCAUUAAGUCUGAUGUGAAAAGCCCCGGGGGCUCACCCCCCGGAAGUGCAUUGGAAACUGAUGGACUCGAGUCCCGGAGAGGAGAGUGGAAUUCCGUGGUGUAGCGGUGAAAUGCGUAGAUAUCAGGAGGAACACCGGUGGCGAAGGCGGCUCUCUGGACGGUGACUGACGCUGAGACGCGAAAGCGUGGGGAGCAAACAGG